rnacentral:rRNA from 1 species
UGGGGAAUAUUGCACAAUGGGCGCAAGCCUGAUGCAGCCAUGCCGCGUGUAUGAAGAAGGCCUUCGGGUUGUAAAGUACUUUCAGUCGGGAGGAAGGUGGUAAGGUUAAUAACCUUAUCAAUUGACGUUACCGUCAGAAGAAGCACCGGCUAACUCCGUGCCAGCAGCCGCGGUAAUACGGAGGGUGCAAGCGUUAAUCGGAAUUACUGGGCGUAAAGCGCACGCAGGCGGUUGAUUGAGUCAGAUGUGAAAUCCCCGGGCUUAACCCGGGACUUGCAUCUGAUACUGGUCAGCUAGAGGCUUGUAGAGGGGGGUAGAAUUCCAUGUGUAGCGGUGAAAUGCGUAGAGAUGUGGAGGAAUACCGGUGGCGAAGGCGGCCCCCUGGACAAAGACUGACGCUCAGGUGCGAAAGCGUGGGGAGCAAACAGG